UUUGUACUCCCUCCAUCCCAAAAUUCUUGUCUUAAAUUUUUCUAAAUAUGGAUGUAUCUAGUUACAUUUUAGUGUUAGAUACAUCCGUAUCUAAACAAAUGUAAGAUAAGAAUUUUGGGACGGAGGGAAUACUAC
rnacentral:pre_miRNA from 1 species